UAUUCGUGUACUAUGUACAUAAGCAUGAAAACACUUUCGAAUCUUCAGUCACAUAAAUAUUUUACAUAUGUAGGCUUAUAGAGAAAUAUCCUCUGGUAAUAUGGCGCUGUUGUUUUGAAUAUUUAUUAAAUUUUUCGCUUUAUGUAUAUGCAG